rnacentral:tRNA from 1 species
GGGGGAUUAGCUCAGUUGGUAGAGCGCUGCCUUUGCAAGGCAGAUGUCAGGAGUUCGAGUCUCCUAUCCUCCAC